rnacentral:lncRNA from 1 species
GGGCUCAGUGCAAAGUGAGGUGCCCGCGGUGAGGGGCACGGGCAGUGCAGCAACGACGACACCGCGACCGCCGGGCCACCGUGUCACCACCACGUCACCACCACGUCACCACCAUGUCACCACGACGUCACCACGGAUGGUGCCCGUCCCCCCGGGGUCGUGGUGACACUACAACCCCAGCCGUGCCAUCCUGGUGAUGCCCGUCACGGUGACAAUGCUGGCACGGGGGUCCCGCCACGGUGACUCCCAUCAUGGUGACAGUGUUGGCACGGCGGUCACGUCAUGGUGACGCCCAUCACAGUGACUCUGUUGGCACGGUGGUGCCAUCACGGUGACUCCCAUCAUGGUGACAGUGCUGGCACCGGGGUCCCGCCACGGGGACACCCAUUGCAGUGAUGGUGUUGGCACGGCGGUGCCGUCACGGUGACUCCCAUCAUGGUGACAGUGCUGGCACGGCGGUCACGUUGCAGUGACACCCUUCACGGUGACACUGUUGGCACGGCGGUGCCAUCACGGUGACUCCCAUCAUGGUGACAGUGUUGGCACGGCGGUCACGUCACGGUGACACCCAUCAUGGUGACACUGUUGGCACGGCGAUGCCAUCACGGUGACACUGUUGGCACGGCGGUCACGUCAUGGUGACACCCAUCAUGGUGACACUGUUGGCAUGGCGGUGCCAUCACGGUGACUCCCAUCACGGUGACACUGUUGGCACGGCGAUGCCAUCACGGUGACACUGUUGGCACGGCGGUCACGUCACGGUGACGCCCAUCACGGUGACGCUGUUGGCACAGCGGUCACGUCACGGUGACCCCCAUCGUGGUGACAUUGCUGGUACAGCAGUGCUGGCACGGUGACACCCAUUGCAGCGACCAGGGGGUGGCACAGUAGUGUCGCGGUGACGCCCAUCGCGGUGACGCCGUGGGCACGGCGCUGCCACCACCCAGCGCGGCGUUGUCCCCUGCACCCGUGGCGGUGGUGCCCACCCGGCAUCACCCCGGUGCCGUCCAGCGGUGACGCCGGGCUCGGUGGUCCCAGUCCGGCUCUGCCGCCUGUCCCAGCCGUUGGCCGUGCCCGGUGCCGUCCCGGUGACGUUGGCGGUGCCGUCCCGGUGACGCCCUUAGGCCUCCGAGGCCGCUUGGGGUUUCAGCUGCGCCUUCUCCAUGGCCGUGCCGUAGGGCACCGAGCGUUUGAAGAAGCCAAGCUUGGGGGGG